rnacentral:lncRNA from 1 species
ACAGGAGGAAGUUUUCUCUACAAGAGACAUAUCCGACACCAGGAGGUGUCAAGGACUGAAUGUGAGGAACGAAAGCACUGGCUGUUGAGGGUUUGGAUCCGCUCACAGGUCAGAGGUCAGAGGCGACUACACAAACGGGACACCCUCCCUGCUGCUCCAUGGGCACCGUGCGUUUCAGACACCUGAGCGUGGCAGACACACAGUUGCUAUGGGUGAUCUAUAUUUGUCUCCAUCAGCGAGUGCUGCGGGCCACUGGCAUGCUUCAACAUGCUGUGCUACAUGGAUGGUUGCUGUAAUACUAUGCACCAGCCAUAGCCAAGGAGCAUCUAGACGUGGCCUUUGUCCGGACUCUGGGCACAGCGCUCCUGGCAGGGUGGCACUGGGGGGGGCGUGGUCUGUUUUCCACAGUGAAGUCCAUGCUGAGGAUGCCACUCCUGAGGUGCGGUUGGUCAGAGAUGCCUGGCCUGAGUGCUCUGCUAGUGCUGAAGCUGUCCACGGUCACCAAUCCCAACAGUAUGUCCUUUAGCCACGCCCGUAUGGUGAGUCACUACAGCUCAAACCAGGACGCUCAAGCUUCAGGACUAAAGUUGGGCAACCAGAGAGAACACAUCCCUUUCUCUGGCGUAGUGUGAAAUGUAUACUUCACAAUAAACGGAAUCUCAACAAAA